rnacentral:rRNA from 1 species
UACAGAGGUGGCAAGCGUUGUUCGGAAUUACUGGGCGUAAAGGGCGCGUAGGCGGCCUUGUAAGUCCUGUGUGAAAUCCCCCGGCUCAACUGGGGAACUGCGCAGGAGACUGCUUGGCUUGAGUUCGGGAGAGGGAAGCGGAAUUCCGGGUGUAGCGGUGAAAUGCGUAGAUAUCCGGAGGAACACCGGUGGCGAAGGCGGCUUCCUGGACCGACACUGACGCUGAGGCGCGAAAGCCAGGGGAGCAAACGGG